rnacentral:rRNA from 1 species
UAAACGCUGGCGGCGUGCAUGAGACAUGCAAGUCGAACGGACGAUCGAGGUUCGCCUUGAUCGUUAGUGGCGGACGGCUGAGUAACGCGUAGGUGACCUGCCCCGAAGUGGGGAAUAACUGCCCGAAAGGGUGGCUAAUACCGCAUGUGGUGACAUGUUCAUUCGCGUCAUCAAAGCCGCAAGGCGCUUCGGAAACGGAUAGGCUCGCGUGACAUUAGCUAGAUGGCGGGGUAACGGCCCACCAUGGCGACGAUGUCUAGGGGUUCUGAGAGGAAGGUCCCCCACACUGGAACUGAGACACGGUCCAGACUCCUACGGGAGGCAGCAGUGAGGAAUAUUGGUCAAUGGUCUGACGACUGAACCAGCCAUGCCGCGUGAAGGUGACGGCCCUAUGGGUCUUAAACUUCUUUUGUAAGGGAGCAAUAAGUCUCACGUGUGGGAUGAUGAGAGUACCUUACGAAUAAGCAUCGGCUAACUCCGUG